AUGCUGCAAGAUCGUUUUGAUGCCCGUGUUGACGUUACUUCAUGGUGUGAAUGUGGCCAUUGUUCGUUGGAUCUUGUUGUCAACCCUCAAGAGUGCCGAUGCUGCAUGGAAAUAGAGCCAUGCCGUGGUAAAAUGUAUCAGUUCGAAAUCGAUGAAAGGAAAUGCAUUUUGGAUCACCCUGGCUUUAACGAAGUUUGCCUGAACGAAUUUGUUCUUCAAGCAGCUUCGUCAGGUUUAAAGACCAAAGGUCAUCGCAUGAUACAGACACUUCAUUUUGUAUUUCCUUUAAAACCUUAGUAUAAAUGUAUAUUAUAUAUUGAAA